UCCGGUAGGCCCUUGAUAGAUCAGCCCCUUCCCGGCCUUCGUCAGCCCCGCCGAACCCAAGCCCCACCGAAUCGGCGCCAUCAUCCCUGGGAAUUGCCAUGGCCGCAAGUCUCUGUAUCCUUGUGAGCGCUGGAACUGAAUAUUUAGCGUUUUUUUCCUAGAUCCGUUCUGGUUCAAUAGCAUAAUUAGUGUGGCCACUCUAUUUGUCUAACAAUAGCUCCGUAGCCCAGUGGUUGUCUUCGUAUGGAACGAUCCAAGGG
rnacentral:lncRNA from 1 species